rnacentral:ncRNA from 1 species
UACCUAUCGAGGCAAAUUUUACGAAAGUAUUAGACGCAAAGCCACGGGCCUAAAGCAUUAUUCAUGUCAUGGCAGCCGGGUUGCCAGG